rnacentral:rRNA from 1 species
AUGCAUGAUCAGGUCGGCCUGGACCUGGGCAGCUUCCCACUCGACCACGAGUUUUCGGAGGACUACGGGCAAGAGGAAGAGGACGAGUGCGACAUCGAAGGGGAGCCUUUGUUCGAGGACGAGCUCGCCAACCAAGCCGCCGGGGCGAAGCCGAAGCGCAAGAGCAAGCGGACCAAGGCCUACACGGUGGCCGAGGACAAGCUCAUUUGUGAGUGUUGGAGAGACAUUGGGCAAGACCCCAAGACGGCCGCCGAACAAAAGGCAUCAACCUUUUGGAUUCGUGUCCACCGUGAGUUCCAUGAACGCAAGAAGUUUUCGCUGUACCAAAUAGUAAGCACGCGCGGGUGGAUGUCCAUUUCAAGGCGAUGGAGGGUGAUCCAACAAGAGUGCAACAAGUUUUUGUGCCACUCUUGA